AUGCAGGAAUUAGUGGACAUUCGGGACUUGCACGUUGGGCCAUGGCUUGUGGCAGGGGACUUUAAUCUCCUUGCCAAGUAGGAAGACAAGAGCAAUGCCUUGGUGAAUAGAAGAAUGCUUGCGAGGUUACGAGCCAAGCUAAACCUACUUGAGCUGAAAGAAUUGUACCUCAAUGGGAGACGAUACAUGUGGUCCAAUGAGAGGAGGAAUGCAACUUUGGAGAAGAUCGAUCAUGUCUUUGUUUCGAAUGAGUGCGACGAGGCAUACCCCACCCGUUUCCUCUUGGCUCUUGGCACAGCGGUAUCAGAUCACUGCCCGUUGAUGCUAGACUUGAAUGUGGAUAUUACUACAAGGAAAAGAUUUAGGUUCGAAGCUUUUUGGUGCAAAGCCGAGGGUUCUAUGGAUGUGGUCAAAAUGGUGUGGACCUCGAUGCCGGCAGCCUCCAAUGUAUAUCUCACCCUACCCAACAAACUCAGGGCUACGGCUAUUAGCCUCCAAAGGUGGAGUGAUCGUCGGAUUGGAAAUGUGAAAUUUCAUAUUGCUAUUGCUAUGGAGGUGAUCAAGCGGCUUGACAUUGCUACGGACUUGAGAGAGCUCUCCAACGAGGAGACAGAAUUGAGGAGGUGCUUGAAGAAGAAGUUACUAGGGUUGUGCUCCCUUGAAAGAACAAUCGCGAGGCAAAGAUCUCGGCUCUUGCAGUUGCGGGAAGGGGAUGGAAACACGAGACUGUUCACCAACAUGCAAGUCACAAGCAGCGGAAGAUAA
rnacentral:rRNA from 1 species